rnacentral:rRNA from 1 species
UACGUAGGGUGCGAGCGUUGUCCGGAAUUAUUGGGCGUAAAGAGCUCGUAGGCGGUGUGUCGCGUCGGCCGUGAAAACCUGGGGCUCAACUCUGGGCGUGCGGUCGAUACGGGCAUCACUUGAGUUCGGCAGGGGAGACUGGAAUUCCUGGUGUAGCGGUAAAAUGCGCAGAUAUCAGGAGGAACACCGGUGGCGAAGGCGGGUCUCUGGGCCGAUACUGACGCUGAGGAGCGAAAGUGUGGGGAGCGAACAGG